CCGGUCUGGUCACACUCAUUCAGCAACAGCAGCACCACCACCACCACCAGCAGCAGCGGACAGCCCUGAGGAGGGCACCAACUGUUCUGAUCUCUUGAAGAGCUCCUCAGGCAACCUUCUGUUUCUAGCAAGAUGAUACACCCAAGCCUUGAUGACAAGGCUUGGCUCUCAACCUCCUUGCUCCCCACCUCCUGUGAAAUACACAAAGAAAUUCAGUGAUCAUCGGGGAUGCUCUGGUCCAAACACUACCUGCCAGCCAGACGCAGGAGAUGGAUGGCUCAGCAGUAAUCGUGCUGCUUGAGCUUGGUGUCUAAUGGGGACAGUAGUGACAGGAAGUUCACAGGGACUGGAAGACAUGAGUUCUCUGAGGGAAAGGAAGGUGAAGCCUGGUGCUUAGGACCCUCAGGAGACCAUAGGAUGUGAGAAGGCUCAAGACACCCAGAGGUGGGGUCAGAAACAGGGCAAAGGAGACCAAGCAUGGGAGAGCUGCAGUGGACGUGUACAGACAGGAGAAGCAGGCCCUAAAGAAUCCCUGAGGCGGCAGAGAGGCUGGGCUGUGGAACUUUUUAAUUACUUUGCAUUAGGGGACUGUAGAGACCCAGAAGCCCACCCUUCCCCUCCCCUCAUCAGCUUAGCCCCAACAUAUGGUGGCUACCAAAGUAGUUAAAUCGGCUCUUGGUAGAAAAGGAAAGAGAUUCCUCCCAGGCUCUUCCCAGGGUCCACGGCCACACUCCAGGAGGGCUCAACUCCAGGGCAAGGCAGCUGGGACAGCAGGCAGCUGAAGGAGGACUAUUACUGCACCUUAGGGAAGAGUGCAGUGGCGAGUGGGGAGGACUCUGCUGGGACCCGGGGGUCAUGUGCAUUCCCAUUUAGUUGAGCUCUGCUUAAUCCGGGCCUAGGCUCACAGUAAUGGGGAACGAGGAGAGGCUCCCAUCAGAGACCAAGAAGAUGACAGACUCUCUGUAAAGGCUGUCAGAGGGGUCUGCAUGACCAACCACACCUGCUCCUGUUCCUUUGGGGCUCUUGUGACCUCCCUGUCUUCUUGUGAGAUCUUAUGUUCCUCCAACCCUGAGAGCUACAAACCAAUCUCCGGAAUAAAAAAAUCUGUCCCUCGUGCUGUCA
rnacentral:lncRNA from 1 species